CCUACGGGAGGCAGCAGUGAGGAAUAUUGGUCAAUGGACGCAAGUCUGAACCAGCCAUGCCGCGUGCAGGAUGACGGCUCUAUGAGUUGUAAACUGCUUUUGUACGAGGGUAAACCCCGAUACGUGUGUCGGGUUGAAAGUAUCGUACGACUAAGGAUCGGCUAACUCCGUGCCAGCAGCCGCGGGAAUACGGAGGAUCCGAGCGUUAUCCGGAUUUAUUGGGGUUAAAGGGUGCGUAGUCGGGUUGAUAAGUGAGAGGUGAAAUGUCGGGGCUCAACCCCGGAACUGCAUCUGAUACUGUUGGACUAGAGAAUAGUUGCGGUAGGCGGAAUGUAUGGUGUAGCGGUGAAAUGCGUAGAGAUUAGACAGAACACCGAUUGCGAAGGCAGCUUACCAAACUAUAUCUGACGUUGAGGCACGAAAGCGUGGGGAGCAAACAGGAUUAGAUACCCUAGUAGUC
rnacentral:rRNA from 1 species